rnacentral:rRNA from 1 species
GAUGAACGCUGGCGGCGUGCCUAACACAUGCAAGUCGAACGGAGUUAUUAUUAUGAAGUCUUCGGAUGGAUUAAUAAUAACUUAGUGGCGGACGGGUGAGUAACGCGUGGGUAACCUGCCUCAUACAGGGGGAUAACAGUUGGAAACGAUUGCUAAAACCGCAUAACACUGCACCAUCGCAUGGUGGAGCAGUUAAAUAUUUAUAGGUAUGAGAUGGGCCCGCGUCUGAUUAGCUAGUUGGUGAGGUAAUGGCUCACCAAGGCGACGGUAAGUAGCCGGCUUGAGAGAGUGACCGGCCACAUUGGGACUGAGACACGGCCCAAACUCCUACGGGAGGCAGCAGUGGGGAAUAUUGCACAAUGGGGGAAACCCUGAUGCAGCGACGCCGCGUGAGUGAAGAAGUAUUUCGGUAUGUAAAGCUCUAUCAGCAGGAAAGAAAAUGACGGUACCUGACUAAGAAGCCCCGGCUAACUACGUGCCAGCAGCCGCCGUAAGAC